UCAGCCGCCGCGGUAAUACCAGCAGCCCAAGUGGUGGUCGCGAUUAUUGGGCCUAAAGCGCUCGUAGCCGGGCCGGUAAGUCCCUUGUGAAAUCGGACGGCCUAACCGUUCGGCGUGCAAGGGAUACUGUCGGUCUUGAGGCCGGGAGACGUCCGAGGUACUCCGGGGGUAGCGGUGAAAUGUUCUGAUCCUCGGGGGACCACCGGUGGCGAAGGCGUUCGACGAGAACGGGCCUGACGGUGAGGGGCGAAGGCUAGGGGAGCAAACGGGAUUAGAUACCCCGGUAGUCCUAGCUGUAAAGCAUGCGGGCCAGGUGUAUGGCGCUCCUAGAGGGCGCCGUGUGCCGGAGGGAAGCCGUUAAGCCCGCCGCCUGGGAAGUACGGCCGCAAGGCUGAAACUUAAAGGAAUUGGCGGGGGAGCACAA
rnacentral:rRNA from 1 species